GCUCAUCCCUCAUGCUAUCGUGAUCCUUCCGUGGCACCACUGCUACAGUUCCUCAGUCUGCAGGUGUUCCUCACGUCGUCGCUAAUUCUUUCCUUGCGCCGUUCACCGCCCGUCAUUCAAUCUACAAGUGAAUUUUUUUCCUAGCGCCGUCGUCCCAAAGUCUGCAGGUGUCCCUCAUAUCGUCGUCGAUUCUUUCCCGACGCCAUCGCCGCUCGUCCCUCAGUCUGCAGGAGAAGCAUGGUUGAUCGGGGAAGAGGGAUCCGCUGCUUUUCUCCGCGUGGCGCGCAUAUAACAGAAAAUAGCCACCAAAAAGGUAGUGGCCAGACCGCCGACAAUCACUCCGCCGCCGGCGACCGACUUAUCGGCGGAGCGUCGGCGGUGGUUGGUUUUCAUCUCCUCUUCUUGUCCAACAGGUGCAGUUUCCUCGCCGGUGGCGCUCACUUCCGUUGAAGCAUCGCUGCUUUCGUCGGCUCUUGGCGCCUCAGGCUCAGCCGAGCUCAGCCGUGAAGCCACGUGCUUGUCGUCUACUACAUUUUGCUUUCCAACUUUUCUCGGCGCCGCAGUCGGUGCUUCCGACAUUGCUAAAAUUAAAUGGCUUUUCGUUAAGACCAAACACAUGAACAAAACAACAAACUUAACCAUUUUUUUAUAUGUGAUGUGACAAUUUCUAGUUUCUUGAAUGAACUUAA